GAAAGGUUGAUGAUUGCCUUGUUG
rnacentral:siRNA from 1 species